rnacentral:tRNA from 1 species
GUCCCCUUCGUCUAGAGGCCUAGGACACCGCCCUUUCACGGCGGUAACUGGGGUUCGAAUCCCCUAGGGGACG